GACGAACGCUGGCGGCGUGCUUAACACAUGCAAGUCGAACGGAAAGGCCCUGCUUUUGUGGGGUGCUCGAGUGGCGAACGGGUGAGUAACACGUGAGUAACCUGCCCUUGACUUUGGGUUAACUUCAGGAAACUGGGGCUAAUACCGGAUAGGAGCUCCUGCUGCAUGGUGGGGGUUGGAAAGUUUCGGCGGUUGGGGAUGGACUCGCGGCUUAUCAGCUUGUUGGUGGGGUAGUGGCUUACCAAGGCUUUGACGGGUAGCCGGGCUGAGAGGGUGACCGGCCACAUUGGGACUGAGAUACGGCCCAGACUCCUACGGGAGGCAGCAGUGGGGAAGAUUGCACAAUGGGCGGAAGCCUGAUGCAGCAACGCAGCGUGCGGGAUGACGGCCUUCGGGUUGUAAACCGCUUUCGCCUGUGACGAAGCGUGAGUGACGGUAAUGGGUAAAGAAGCACCGGCUAACUACGUG
rnacentral:rRNA from 1 species